rnacentral:tRNA from 1 species
UUAACUAAAACCAAAUAGAGGUAUAUUACUGUUAAUAAUAUAAUUGAAUAUUUUAUUCUAGUUAAG